AGAAACAUCCUCCAACAGAGGCGCUGAUGACGCCUUUGGCUGGGGAUGUGAUGCUCCAGUCUCAGAUGUCUGUGGAAGAGCCCUGGAAAGCCAAUGCUGUUGUGGCUGCUACUUCAGAGAGAAAAAGAAACAGCUGAGGGGCACCAGUGGCUGCCAGAAGCAUCAUCCAUCUUACCCCCCUCGCCAUAGGGAGAGGGAAUGAAUUUCCAAGAGGAAAAAGGAGGAGAAAAAAGGCUCCAGAGAAGAUGCAUCAACUUGUUCAUUGUUAAAGUAAGAAAAGAAAUCUAGAGUGAAUGAAAAGUUCAUAUCUUUGGGGAGAAAAGAGAGAGAAAGAAGAGGAGGAAAAGCACAGAUAUCAUUAGAACAAACCCCUAAAAGAGGAAAAAGUACUAAACAAAUUAAAUUAUACAUCUAACGAGCACAAACAGACAUCUACUUUCAAAAGAGAUUUAACCCAAUUCUUCAAAGAAACAAAACCCAGCAGUAAUUAGUGAGUGCUUUUAUCUCUUCUGGAUUAGAGUAUCCAAUAAAGCUGAAUUCCUAGAGGUGAUGUUCCUCCUCCCCAAAAUAUAAAUCGUUAGAAGAUGUUGCGCAAGCCUUUUUCUGCUUCAGCCCAAUAGGAUGCCACCGAAGUCGGGCUCCUUGGGCUGUGUUUUCAGAAAAUCAGCUGCGACCAGACUCUGAAUGUAAAGCUGAGAAAAAGAACUUCAGGAAACUGGGACUUCUCAUUUGAUGCUCCCACCAGUUAUGAAUCAAGCCUUGAAAUCCUGCUGAUUUUCAGUGGUUUGAAACAAUACUACAUUUUUGUAAUUUCUAGAAUUCUGUAACUUUAGGAGAAUGAAGUGGCAGCAUAAUGUGGGAAGGAAAUAGGGUAAGCAAUAAAAUUAAUUUUCUGUCUCUCUACUUGGGUGCCUGUACCCUGUCCAUGUAGAGUGAAACCAGUCUCUUGCUUGCAAAGUGCACGUCAUGCCAUGGCCACAACAGGCAAACCGUGUGGCUACAGAGUGCAGACCUUUGUUUCAGAUCAUUUUAAAAUCUGAGUUCAGUGCUCUCAGGCCAAGCAGGAUGCAGAACCCUGUUGUAACCUCAAGACCUGGGUAAAGCCCUUAUUUACCUU